AAAUGAUCCAAAAAAUUUACUUUAUUACAUUCUAAGAAGAAAAAAUAUGGCUCAAUUUCUCAUAUUUGUUUAUGCUUUGAUCAUCUUUCUUUUUCCAUUUCUUAUUGAAGCAUCCACAUUCAGACGUAUGACUUUUUUCAAACCAUUUUUUAUUUUCCCAAGUUUGUCUUGUACAUGAUAUUUUAUCACAUUUUAGUAACAUUUUUUUUCUUAAUUGUCAAUGCAGUUAACAUUCGUUGUGUUACCGUUGAUGAUUGUCCAAAGGUGAUUAAACCGCUAUUGAUGUGGUGUAUUAAUAAGUAUUGUCAGUACUAUUUUUCUGAGAUUCCGUAAGUUAAAACUUAAUUAUAUAACAUCCAAAUAAAUAAUAUUCCCUUCGUUUGAAAAUUAAUGUCGUUUAAAGUUUUUACGCACAUAUUAAAAAAUGCAUUAAUUAAAAGAAACAGAGACGCUAAUUUAUCAAAUUAUCCUAAUUAACUAUUGUUUUAUUUUUCAUUAAAGAAAAAAUAAUAGUACUUUAAAAGUAGUGUAUAUAAUAUUAAUUAAAGGGUAUAAUUGAAAAGAAAGAGUUAUUAUUGCAUUGGAAACUGAAAGUGACAUUCAUUUUAAAACAAUUUUUUAGUUAAAACGACGCUCAUUUUAAAACAAAGAUAGUAUUAUUAUUUGUGUAUCUUACCAUUUUCAUUUGUAUAUUUUAAUUCAAAAUUAUUUUAUACUUUCUCUAGCCUUUCAAUUUAAUUUUACUAGUGUGUCAGUGCACGGAGAAAUUGUUUUUGAAUUAAAUUAAAAAAAUAACUUAGAUGUUUCUUAUGUAAAAAAGAAACAGUAGUGUUAUUUGAACAUCCAUGUAUGUGACAACUUUUGUGACAACCAAAAUUUUACAAAGAAAAUGAGGUAUUGUCACAAAAACCAAAACAAUAAAGAGAGAAAGUAAAAAGAUAAUGCAAGUAUGAGAGAAAAAGUUAUAAAAAAUGGUUGUUCAAAUAUCAUUUCUCAAAAAGAAAACGUACUCCUUUCGUCCCUUUUUAUUAAGAAAAGUUGUUGGAAGUUGGAACGAUGAGUUGUCUUAUAUGUGUGACUCUUACUAUAUCAUCCUCAAGUGUCUUGUUAAUGAGUGCUCCAUAGCACUUUUUAAGGAUCCAAAUUUUAGUAAUUCUUCUUUUUUAAAAAUCAAUUAUUACAAUUUUCAAUGCAUUAAAUAACAAUUUUUUAUAAAAUAACUUACAAUUUAAAGUGUUUAAAGAGUGCUCCGGUGUACUCGUUAACAUUUCCACAUCCUUAAUUUUAACUUUUUAUAUAUCAAUAAAGGUAAAUAACUUGACAAAAAAAAAAGGUAUAUAUGAAAAAAGAGUAAUUUUAGGAAUUUGUAAAUGACUUUGUAUAAAAAAAAAAAAAAAAAAAAAAAAAAAAAAAAAAAGGAAUUUGUAAAUGAUUUUAUAUUUGAGGACAAAUUUUUUUUGUAAACUACUCCUGUAAAAAAAACAGGGGAGUAAAAUAAAUGGGUAGGAACAAAAUAAGGACGAAAUGGAGAGCAAAACCAAUUACGCUAGAUAAUUGAUACUUACGCUUUGAAUAGCAACAACAUUGGAAAAUUAUUCCAAUUCCAAUUGCAGCUAGUAAUUACAGAACACAAAAUUCUCGGUGAUAAUAGGAAGAAGAAAACACAUCAACGUGACCAAAUAAAGAGUAAAUAGUCAAUUUCUCCCUUGAAAUUGUAAGUUUUAUCAAUUAUCCUUCUGAAAUUAACAAAACUUCACUUAUCCCCCUGAAAUUUCACAAUGUUAGUCAAUUUACCCCCUCCGUCAAAUUUUUCUGUUAGUUAACAUGACGUUUUGCAAAUACCCCCUGAAGUUUUGCACAUAAACAAAAUGUCCCCCAAACUUAAAAAUUUAUAUUAUUUUUUUUCUUACAAACAAACAAUUAAUAGUUAAAUAUUAAAAUUGUUAUAAAUAUUAAUAGUGGAUGUCCAAAUAGCAAAUGUGUUAGUGGGCCAUACUACUAGGUUAUUGGGCUUAGUUCAUAAGCUACUCUAUUUACCUAUAAAUAGAGCUCAUUUGUAACAUUGAGAGACACGUCAGUAAAUAAGAAUACUGCUCCUAUUUUCUCUUCUUCUCCUUCCCUUUAUUAUUAUCAUCUCUAUUUACUUGUAUUCAUAACAAAAACUAACUAUUAAUUUUGGAAUUUGAGAAAACUACAUGCAUAUACAUCAAAAUAGCUCCAAAAUGGGGGAAAAUAUGUAUUUUUUUAAAGUGACAAUAAUGUGAUGAUUUGUGGAUUAAUAUUGGGGGUUGUGUAGUUUAAAUGGUUUGAGCAAAUUGUUGAAGCAAUUGGAGGAGUUAAAAGACUAAGAUGGUGAAGGAGAAAAUAUAAAUUUAAAUCUGAUUAUUAAUUUGUUUAUAAACCUCUAAAAAUAAUAAUUUGUCUAUUAGAAAUAACCAUUAUUGUCACUUUAAAAAUACACAUUUUUCCCUAUUUUGAUGUAUAUAUGUAUGUAGUUUUUCUAAACUCCAAAAUUAAUAGUUAGCUUUAAUAUUUAACUAUUAAUUGUUUGUUUUUAAGAAAAAAAUAAUAUAAAUUUUUAAGUUUGGGGGGCAUUUUGCACAUAAGUGCAAAACUUCAGGGGAGUAUUUGCAAAACGUCAUGUUCACUAACAGAAAAAUUUGACGGAGGGGGUAAAUUGACUAACGUUAUGAAAUUUCUGGGGGGUAAUUGAAGUUUUGUUAAUUUCAGGGGGUAAUUGAUGAAACUUACAAUUUCAGGGGGGAAAUUGACUAUUUACUCACAAAUAAAUAAAGGAAAUACUAACAAGUGUCAUUAAGAAACUAGUUAAAACGUCUAAAGAAGAAACUUUGUGUUGAAAAAUGUGCAUAUUUUUUUAUAGGCAAAUAGAAGGGUUAGGCAUCAGGAAGAGGUUGAAGCAUUCCAACUAGAUUGGCACCCAACAACAACUCUCAUCCUCUACCGCCUUCCUAAUACGUAAUAAUAAAAAAGGAUAAAAAAUUGUACAAAGGAGGGGAGACUAGGCCCCAAAACCCUCAAAACAAACCAAGAAAAACAAUACAGAAAAAAAAAUAAAGACAGAAAUGGUUACGGUAAUCUAAUGUUGGGCAACCCAUUUCUAUCUCUAGUAAAAUCAACCAGCAGAGGAGACGGCAUAAUGUGGAACCAAGUAGUGUCGAGCAAAUCAUGCCCCAUAGUUGCCAAAGCAUCUGCACAACUCGCAUAAACUCCAGCAAUAUAGGUUUUAGUGCCCAUUGCAAACAUGUUCCAGCACCAAACACUGAGAUGACGUAAAAAUAACAGUAAAAGCAACUUCAGGACCCCAAACCGCCCAAAGUUUAGGAAUGAAAGGCUCCCUUUUAUUCACACAAUAUUCAGCAAUAAAUACUAAAGAUGGAGUAUUUAAAUGACACAUAUCUCUAAAUUCUAUCCGGGAAUCAUUGUUAACGAUCCCCCUAAUGUUCCAAAAAAUAAUCUUCAUUUAGAGGUUGGAAGAGGACCCUGUGAACGGGUUUUGGUUUGAAAAUCUACCUUCUGCUUAUUCAAUUUUUUCUUUUGAGACUUGGAAAGCACAGGAGAAAAAGGAACGUCAGUUGUGUAACGCUCCUAUUUCUAUUAAAGCAAUUAAACAUGCGAAUAAUACAUUUAUUCAAGAAAUAGAGGCUACGCCACAUUCAAAAUUCAAAACCAAUAAACAUGUAUAUAAACCUCAACAGUUGCAGCGGAAUAUAAACCAGAGUAAUCAAAAUAUAUACAUGUCAUGAAUCAAUAAAUUACAUCACAUAGAUGCAUCUCAAAAAUCCCAAACAAAACAGGUAAUCUCCAACAAAACAAAAUCCAAAAAUAACCUAAUCUAGACCGACACAACAAGCCUAGAUCAGAGGCGACUCAACACCGAUACCGGAGAAAGCUCCCAAUAUCACCAAGCACAAACUCACCAAGCACUACUCCUGCACAACGUCUACCCAUCCAUACAGACAGGUAGGCGGUUAAAACCACUGGAGAUAAGUAUUACAUUAUCAUAAUCCAAAUAACAGUUAACAUGAAUAUUUGAAUAUAAACAUCAUGCAUUUGAUCAAUAAUAAUCACACAUUAAUACUUACAUCACAUCCAGAUAUCUCACAUCAAUAAUCAUCAAUCAUAUGAACAAUUAUCAAUUCAAAAAUAUUCAUUCACAAUUACCAAUCACAUUUAUCAUGAAUAAUCAUUAUCACAUUUCAUGAACAGUUACCAAUCACAUAUAUCAAUAAGACUCAUGUCAUGAUAUGCACCUAUAGACACAUAUAUGCAUGUGGUACCAAAUCUCCAAAAAGGGUCGUCACCCAAAUCCAGAUCUCAAAAGAUCUCUGAAAGGCCGAAGCCCUAUAACGAAUAAAACAUCGUAUCCAGAUCUCAAAAGAUCUCUGCCAGGCCGAAGCCCUAAAACUAGACGUCAAAAGAUCUCUGCUAGGCCGGAGCCCAAUAAUGAAUAAAACAUCAUUUCAUCUCGACUAUGAUGCAUGGACAUGUAACAAGACUCGAUAAUGCGACAACAAUCACAAUUUUCUCCACAAUAUAUAGGACAACACCCAAAGGUUAGGAAUGAAAGGCUCCCUUUUAUUCACACAAUAUUCAGCAAUAAAUACUAAAGAUGGAGUAUUUAAAUGACACAUAUCUCUAAAUGCUAUUCGGGAAUCAUUGUUACCGAUCCUCCUAAUGUUCCAAAAAAUAAUCUUCAUUUAGAGGUUGGAAGAGGACCCUGUGAACGGGUUUUGGUUUGAAAGUCUACCUUCUGCUUAUCCAAUUUUUUCUUUUAAGACUUGGAAAGCACGGGAGAAAAAGGAACGUCAGUUGCAGCAGCCUUAUCUAACCAUGUUUGCAUAAAAUCCGUUUAUGUCCAUAAAGUAGGAUCAAUAUUUGCAUUUUGGUCUGCCGCUAUAGAGGAGACAUCUAGAGUCCGGACCAGCGUUGAAAUUGGAGCAUCAUUAAUCAUUUCAGUACGAACAAUUUCAUCUAUAACAUUAUUAAGUUGCAUACUGAAAGAAUUUUGCGACAAAGUAAUGUUGUUUACCAUGGCUGCCUGAAUAGGUCUUGAGGAAUCACUUGUCUGCUCCAAGUUCUCUUCGACAUGAAUGUUCAUGGUUGUGUCUGCCUCAUUUUGUGUAUCUGAUAUAUCUACAUCUUGGGUAACAAUCUCUUGUUGGAUUUGAUCAACAUCCUGGUGCUUGUCUGCCGUGAUUGUAACUUGCUGAACGGGGACAUGGGCAGGGAUAGCCGUGGCUGUAUGUUGCAGUGCUGGAGGUGGAGGCGCCUCAAUGCAUAAAUAUUUUAAAAAGUACUCCCUCCAUUUCUUUUCUUUUGAUGUUUUAGGACUUCAACUUUAUUUCAAAACAUUUGAUGUUUUAGUAUAUUUAAUAUUGUAUUCUCAAAUUUACCCUUGUUGAAAAACACACCGUACUGCAAAAAGAGUUAUGACUUUUGGCUUAUGACAUGAGAAUUUAUUGAUAUAUAAGGAUAUUUUAGUCAAAACACACAAAUAUUUUUAUACAUUAAUUAUUCCUUAAGACUUGUGCCAAGAGGUAAAACAUCAAAAGAAAAGAAAUGGAGGGAGUAACUUUUUCUACGUAAAAUUUAUCAAUUAUUUCUAUUUUUAAAUCAUUAACAAGUGC
rnacentral:lncRNA from 1 species